rnacentral:misc_RNA from 1 species
AACGCACAUUGCGCCCCUUGGUAUUCCGGGGGGCAUGCCUGUUCGAGCGUCAUUACACCCCUCAAGCCUGGCUUGGUCUUGGGCUCCGCCGUUCGUUCGGCGGGCCUUAAAAUCAGUGGCGGUGCCUCCGCGGCCCUGAGCGCAGUAAAUUUCCUCGCUUUUGGACCCGGUGGUUACUGGCCAGCAACCCCCAACCUCUAAGUUUGACCUCGGAUCAGGUAGGGAUACCCGCUGAACUUAA